CAGCUUCAUUGAAGUCAUCUGCCUCUCGAUAUCUCUUUCUCCUUACAGCUGAUUAAAAGCAGAGAGAGCAAACCAAUCCCGGCAUCAAUCUGGUAUUUUGGCAUCUGGGAUGAGGCUUACAGCUAAUAACUUGUAUGGGUUGGCAUCAAAACCACGAAAAAUAUCUGGUUUGGCAUCCUUCUCUCUGGUCUUUUUUUUUUUUUUAUUAUUACUGUUGUGCUACUGCUACUGGCUAUCGCACCGCUUCGAACCCAUUCGAUGAAACCCAAUCGUCCCGUCGGUUUGAUCGAUUUUGAGUCCUUGAUCUUACUCUGAAGAAGAAGAAGAAGAAUCACCCAGACAGACACCGAGAAAGUUUUGAGUUUGCUUUGCUGCCAUUUGUGGAUGCAUGUCAAUGUCAUCUUCUUCAAAACCAAGCAUCAAUUCGAUCUGAAUUGGAUCCUUCUGCUGUAAAUUUAGGAUCUUUGAAUACCUGUUCAUGAAUUACAUUGGAUUUUAUUUUUAUUUUUCGGGCCCUUCCUUUGUACCUUGAUGAAAUCUUUCACCCUGUUGUUGCCGUUUUGAUGUCUGUAACAUUUGUUCUAAUCUUCAGAGAGGUAUGUUGCCUACUCGUUUUGUCUUAAGCUCAUUGAGAUGCAAUGGGAUAUUGGGAUUGCGAUUGACUUGUGACUUGCCAUUCACAAGCUAUAUGCUCAAGAUAUGUAUGGGCUUUCUGUUGGCUUGUUCGCAUUCUGAUGAUCAUCUGCUAUCCAGUAUCGCCUACCCAAUUGGAAAAGAGGUCCAAAACAUCACAGCGCACUCCCACUGGUACUGCAUUGCUCAGACUUGUUUGGUUUGCAAUAGCGAUCCUAAGCUUGAUGUCAACUAUUCUGUAAGUAAGCUUUAAAUUUGUCAAUGACAAAUGAUUACUGAGAAAAGUGUUGUUAAUAAAGAAAGACAAAUAUAUAUAAUCACACUUGUCCACCUACACUUGCGCACAUAAUCAAGCAGAAUGUGUAAGUGGAUCACAUUAUAUGCUGGAAGAAUUAACAUGACCUAAAAAUUUGGACUUUAAGUGGGUGAUUUUAUUCUAUUUGAUGUGCUACUGCUGGUCUUUGCAUAUUCUUCUUUCUCUUAUUUGCUUAUGCGCAAUGGCCCUUGAUUCCUGCACGCACCACAAACAUCCUCUUCUUGUGCUCGAUUCGAUACCGGCCGUGGAAAACUGAAGUUAUCUUAAAGAAAGUAGUCAUUGCACUUGGCAAGAGUGUAGCUGGAAGUAUCAAAGAGUAAGGUUUGAGCUUCUUUUUCUUCUAAUAACCUGAAAUGGUUUAUUUCAGUUGUGACUAUGGAUUUUGAGGGUCUGAUUAUUACAGAAGCUAUUUGAAGAGUAUAAGAAAUUAUAGAGGGAUUUUAUAGUAAGUUGGGAGAAGCCCAAUGUGUUUAUGAAGAGUAAGUUGGCUGCUGUCAAAGCUUGCUGUUCUUUUUUUUCUUUUUCAUGUUGCAUACAUAAAUAUGCUACAAGGUGAUCUACUGAUCUACAAUGUGAUCUUUGGGUUGUCAAAGAAUGCAUCUAGGUCCUAGAUUUGGCCCAGUCUAACCAUUAAGAGUCGAGGACCUUAGGUGGGGAUGCACACAAACAUGAUAGUUUAUAGGUCCUAGAUUUGGCCCAGUCGUAUUCUUUUGUACAUUUGGAAAUGAAGUUCAGAGUAUGGCAUAGGAAUGGAGGUGUCAACAAGUGGUGACAUCUAUAGCUAUGAAAUCCUGCUAUUUGAGAUGCUGAUAGGCAAGAGAUUGAUAUAUGACGUGUUUAAAGACGGCCUGAACUUGCAUAAAUUUGUCAAAUAAGGCUUUGGCCUCCUUAUCCUAUUGGAUGGUGAUCAGAGCUGAGUCUUCUAGCCAUCCCAGCCAGCUUUUGAGCAAGCAGCACUUGGAGCCUAUUAUUGAAGAGGAGCUUUUGAACGAGCACAUGGACACUAUUGAAGAGGACAUGUAGAACAAGAAACUUUCAACUAUGUCAUUUUUUUUUUGUUUACUGAUAAUCUGAUAUUAGUGUGCUUUGUUUAGUGUACGACUGGCUUUGAUUAACCAACAAGAUGCUACCAGUCUACUUUGUUCUUGGGAUUUUAUGAUCUGUACCUAAAAUUAUGCCUGACCGAGAUGGCUAGAAGACUCGGCUCUGAUCAAGAUGCUACCAGUAGACUUUGUUUGUGGGAUUUUAUGAUUUUUACCAAUUUUGAAUGCUAUGGAAACUUUCUAAGUA